UGCAUGAAGCCGGAAUCGCUAGUAAUCGCGGAUCAGAAUGCCGCGGUGAAUACGUUCCCGGGUCUUGUACACACCGCCCGUCACACCAUGGGAGUCGGAAAUGCCCGAAGUCUGUGACCUAACCGUAAGGAAGGAGCAGCCGAAGGCAGGUCGGAUGACUGGGGUGAAGUCGUAACAAGGUAGC
rnacentral:rRNA from 1 species